AGCUCCAAUAGCGUAUAUUAAAGUUGUUGCAGUUAAAAAGCUCGUAGUUGGAUUUGUAGCGUUUAAGCGGACCGAGAGGAUGGUUGGACCUUUACGGUAACCGAUUAUGCGCUCUACGUUCGGUUAUUGAUUACUGGCCUUAACUGGCUGGUAGUUGAUUCCGGACCGUUUACCUUGAAUAAAUUAGAGUGUUCAAAGCAGGCUUUUAGCCUUGAAUAGUUUAGCAUGGGAUAAUGGAAUACGAUCCGAGUCCAGUUCGUUGGUAAUCUGGGCUAGGAUAAUGAUUAAUAGGGAUAGUCGGGGUUAUUCAUAUUCAAUUGUUAGAGGUGAAAUUCUUAGAUUCUUUGAAGAUGAACUGUAGCGAAAGCGUUUAACAAGGAUGCUCCCA
rnacentral:rRNA from 1 species